rnacentral:lncRNA from 1 species
UUUAAAUUCAACUUUCAACCUCUGUUUAUACAUCUAUUAGCAUUAUGAAUUUCACAUGAUUAGUUAAUAUUUGCUACAUUAAAAAAUUGUUAUGGUAAAAGAAACUAAGAAGCUAUAUGAAGUAAGGGUAUGAGAAAUUGAGAUUCUCAGGCAAUUGUUUAUGGUUGAGAUAGGUUAAAGUAAUGCAUAAUCUAGAAAUUAAAUUUCUCUUGGUUUUAUUGAUUACUAUCUGUAUAUAUUUAUUAUACGUAACACGUUUUGACUGUCAUCAGUUACGUCUCUUACAACUGUUCGAGUAUUGUAGUCAAUUAAUUUUGCCCGGACCCAUUUAAUUUAUUUGCAAAUAAAUAAAUAAAGUCCAAGACUAAAUAGUCCAAAAGAGUCCAUUUACAAUUUUUAUUACCAAAAUAACCCAUGACCCAAUAAUCCUAAACCCAAACCCGAGGCCCAAAACACCAAAAAAGAGAGUGUACAGCAGAUGAGGGCACCACAAGCUUCUGGAAUCGGUCAGAAAGUUGAGGCUCCCACGAGUGAAUCCUUGCCCGGCCUUCUUCGCACGUUUCCUCUGUACGGCCGGGUCUGCAUAGGAAUACACCAGAAGAACUGCUAACAGAAUACAGCAAAUAAAUGUAUUUUUUUUUAUUUAUUUUUCAUUCCAAAAAUCUGGCUAUAAAAAGCCGUUGAUUUCAUCCCUAUAAUUUUUACGGAAAAUAUACACAGGCGCACGCAUAAAAAAUAGAAAAAAGAAUUUUAUUAGAAAAGGUGAUUUCAAGUUUUAUGCCCUCUAUUUAAUUUAUUUUCUUUUUUUUUGUUGGCUUGGAUUUUUCUUUUAGUGUGAAAAUCAAUACCAAUGAGAGCCCAAAAACCUCGAAAUACAGAGGCAAGGGCGAGAGGUUGAUUAGUGUGGAAAUGUUCUUUGAUUCAUGAAUCUUUUUAGUUCUGUUUAAAAAAACAGCAUAAGAUUGGAAUUUUAUUUUCAAAAUGAAGGAAAAUAGGGAAGGAAAUUACUUACUAAAUCCUUCAAGGUGUGGUUAAGCUCCUUCAAUGGCGUAAUCGGGGCGGUGUUUGCAUGCGGCUGGUCACCAAAUGAUGGUGGUUCGGCAGAGGCGUGCUAAUGGAACCGUACUGAUUGAUUUUAAGGGUUUUUGCUUUCAAAAAGGAAAAGAAAGUCGGCUGAGUUAAAGCAAUAUGAAGAAGGAAGUCCGAAUGAGGGUUUAGGGGGGUUUCAAAAACGGCGCAGUUCCAAGCAUUGAGGAUCCGCGCGUCGACCCGCUGGGUACCCGGAUCCGCGCCUUCUCUUUUUAAAUGGCAGAUUUGCACGUUAGAUCCGCCCCCUCUUGCGCGAGCCUUCAAUUUGCGCCCAAUUGGCUUACCUUGUGUUUUAAAAUUUGGCCUGCUAAUUUGUGCAUCGUUUCACCUUGAUCCGCGGUUCAAUGCAGCAUUAUGGGCGCGGGAUAUUUUCAAUACCAGUCCCCACAUGUUUGUUUGCAUGGCACAUUGAUCUUAUUUUCAUUUUAUUUCAUUUGUAAAUUGUUUCUCCUGUUUCAAUUUUGUUUCAAUUAAGUCUUAUUUCUUUAUUUUACUGCACAUACAUUUUUUUUACAUGCUUAAUGGGUUGUGAUAUUUUGUGUUGUUUUGAUAGCUGAAUUUUGUAUUUUUUUUAAUGUUUUUGUUCUAUUAUUUUAAUAAUUGGUGUAUUAUUUGAAGUAAAAAUCAUUUUGGUUUAUGUAUGCUAUUAAUUCUAUGCUUUUUACAUAUCUUAAUGUUUAUGUUCU